rnacentral:rRNA from 1 species
UUUUAAAGCUCCUUUUGACUUUCCAGGCUUAUGAAUUCAUAUACUCUUUGUAUGUCAUGAAUGUCUUGUUUACUGGACUUAUGUCCUCUAAAACUAUAUACAACUUUCAACAACGGAUCUCUUGGCUCUCGCAUCGAUGAAGACGCAGCGAAAUGCGAUAACUAAUGUGAAUUGCAGAAUUCAGUGAAUCAUCGAGUCUUUGAACGCACCUUGCGCCCUCUGGUAUUCCGGAGGGCAUGCCUGUUUGAGUGUCAGUGAAAUCUCAACCUCUCAUGCUUUGUUGGCAUUGAGAGGAUUGGAUGUGGAGGCUUGCUGGAUUUUAUUCAGCUCCUCUGAAAUGUAUUAGCAGGAACCAUUGCUAAGGUUUACUGCAGCCGUGUGAUAAUUAUCUUGCGGUUGAAGUAAAUGUUUAGUUUGUCUCACUUUUGGUCUGAAGAAAUGCUCUUUGAGCUUUCUUUGCCUUCUCUCUUCGGAGUGAUACCUAUCCAAGUGUAGAUUUUAAUGGUCUUAUCCUAGCUUCUUACCAUCUGGAAACAGAUAACACUUGACCAUUAUGA